UGUGAGGGCCAUCUGCCUGUGACAUCUGUCACCACACUGAUCUCCAGCGCUGUGUCAGCCGAUCUGGCUGCCCACGCACAUCCCAUUCCUCACACA
rnacentral:sRNA from 1 species